UUUUUUUUUUUUUUUUUUCCUUUGUCUUUUCCUCUCAACGUAUUCGUCCCCGCUUCCAAAAAC
rnacentral:ribozyme from 14 species